GACGUAGGGCGCGAGCGUUGUCCGGAUUUAUUGGGCGUAAAGAGCUCGUAGGCGGUCUGUCGCGUCUGCUGUGAAAACCUAGGGCUUAACUCUGGGCGUGCAGUGGGUACGGGCAGGCUAGAGUGCGGUAGGGGAGACUGGAAUUCCGGGUGUAGCGGUGGAAUGCGUAGAGAUCCGGAGGAACACCGGUGGCGAAGGCGGGUCUCUGGGCAACAACUGACGCUGAGGAGCGAAAGCGUGGGGAGCGAACAGG
rnacentral:rRNA from 1 species